UUGGUCUGUUGUUCAUUCACUUUGAGGUGACAUGGCUGCAAGGCAGCUGUUUAAACGGAGCCAAGGGUGUGUGACAUUGACUCUAAUUAAUUUGGACUGGAGCACCAAGGCUCUUUUUAUAAACAAGGGACAGGCAGGAAGAGAGGAGAAGAGAACUGAAAUCAACCAGUCGACGCUGCAGAGACCAAUACAAAAAAUCCGAUUCUGUCCGGAAACCUUCCGGACACCCUGACAGAAUUAUCCGACCAUGGACUUGGAAAGGCUUUGGACUGAAGGAACGGUAAUGGAUCCCCUGCACGUGGAUUCUGGACCCGUCCCUUCGCCACACCUUCCACUCAUUGCACCCGUCCAAGCCGGAUAAUCCGCUGGGAGGCGUCCGUUGCAGGAGGUGGGUACUGUCAUGAUUCAGUUUAGUUUCCAGCAGGUGUAGCACAUGUAGACUGGUUGAGAGAAUUCCCAUUCCCCCUAGAGUACCCUGUUGAGGGUAUAGAGCUGGUUGACUGUUCCACAGCCAGAAUAGAAAACUACACUGCUCCCCCUGAAUCUAAAAUUCAGCUUCCAGACAGACCCACGUGUCUAGCACCCCUGAACAGACCUGACCACCAGGGAGACUGAGGAGUGUGAUCCCCUUGUAGUUGGAACACAUCAACACAAGACGAACCACCACCCCAAUCUGACAAUCGAGAGGCAAUGUCGCCAAUGUUCAUGCGAUGCUGCACAGCCGUGUCAACCAGGACGCACCCACAACAUCCAGAGUCUUUAGACGCUCUGGGCAGACCUCAUCCAUUAACGGGACCUUGCCAGUGAGGAGCUUUUUAACCACAUCGGUGACCUCAACCCCACAGAGAGGAAACCCCGCCGCUGAGACCGCAGACUCUGUUUCUUCCCGGGAAGGCAUGUUAGGAGCUCUUCAAAGUAUUCUCUCCACCAAUUCACCCCAUUCCCGCAAUAUACAGCGUUAAGGGGGGCCGUCCUUGGUCUGGUCCCUCAGCUAUGACCUGUUUGCUAUGGGUGACCCUGCCAAGGGCAUACUGCCCUAGACAACAGGAUCAUUGGGACACUCAAACCCCUCCACCAUGAUAAAGUGAUGGCUCAUGGAGGCGGUGUAGUCUUUCUUUUGGUAUUUUCCUCGACAGACCUUCUGCAAAGGUAGAAGUGGGCAAAAGGGGAUGUUUGUUGUUACGCCAUUGUGGGAUGGGACGUAGCAGACUCACGGCCUAUUGUAGUGGAUCCUCAUUUGCAUUAAAAUCAGGGUGGUCUAAGCGCACGCAGGGCUUGACAUUGGAGAAGCAGUACUCGCUGGGGUCUUUGCAUGACACUGGCGCAUGCAAAGUGUGUUUGUACAGGUAAACUGCAAGAUAUCCCUUUGCGGUUGAUGUAGACGGCCGCUCAACUGAGGUGAGCAAUUGGAGACCACCUUGCGCCCACGACCAUACAUUUGUGAGGAAAGCCCCCCCACAGUUGUCCCGCAUGGUCAAGGGGAUACUAUUAAAAUAUGUUGAAAUUCGUUCAAUGAACUGAUUUCUACAUUGAUUCAGAGUGACCGUCCCAGACUGUUGUCAUAUUUAUGAAUGAAAUACAAUGAGAUCAACCACAUACGCCAGUGAAGUCCUGAAUCUGU